rnacentral:tRNA from 1 species
GGAGGGGUGGCCGAGUGGUCUAUGGCGGCGGUCUUGAAAACCGCUGUGCCCGCAAGGGUACCGGGGGUUCGAAUCCUCUCCCCUCCGCCA